rnacentral:tRNA from 1 species
AGCGGGGUGGAGGAGUGGUACCUCGGGAGGCUCAUAACCUCCAGACUCCAGUUCGAAUCUGGACCCCGCAACAA